AUGGAAGCAUUUCAAAUGGUAUGGGUCAAUGAAAUGCAAAAACUAACUCUCUUGGCACAUUCAGCUGCUAUUAAAAAAUACCUUAGAUGGGUAGUUCAUAAGCAUAAACGUAUUUCUCACAGUUCUGGAGAGUGCGAAGUUCAAGACCAAGUAUCGGGAGAACCCACUCCCGAUGGUUACAUACAAGAAAGAUUGGAGACCUGUGUGCCUGGCAAUUGCCUUGUUGAAAGGAAGCCCUCAGCAAAAGUUGGUUGAUGGAUUUGGCCAACAAGGAGUCCCAGCAAGAGAAGGAAGAAGACAGGAAAGUGAGGUCAGAGUAUUCUUUUCCCCGGCUCCCUCUCUAGGAGUUUGUCUUGGACUGAGUGUUUCACUUGACUAACCGGUAUGUUCCUCUUCUUCGAGGUUCUAGUCAUCUCUCCCUCAUCUUAUCCCUUCAGUCUUCAGGUUCUUGC
rnacentral:lncRNA from 1 species